rnacentral:rRNA from 1 species
UAAUUGAAGAGUUUGAUCAUGGCUCAGAUUGAACGCUGGCGGCAGGCCUAACACAUGCAAGUCGAGCGGCAGCGGGAAGUAGCU